rnacentral:rRNA from 1 species
UUGAACGCUGGCGGCAUGCUUUACACAUGCAAGUCGAACGGUAACAGGUUAAGCUGACGAGUGGCGAACGGGUGAGUAAUGCAUCGGAACGUGCCCGAUCGUGGGGGAUAACGCAGCGAAAGCUGCGCUAAUACCGCAUACGAUCUGAGGAUGAAAGCGGGGGACCGUAAGGCCUCGCGCGAUCGGAGCGGCCGAUGUCAGAUUAGGUAGUUGGUGGGGUAAAGGCUCACCAAGCCGACGAUCUGUAGCUGGUCUGAGAGGACGACCAGCCACACUGGGACUGAGACACGGCCCAGACUCCUACGGGAGGCAGCAGUGGGGAAUUUUGGACAAUGGGCGAAAGCCUGAUCCAGCCAUGCCGCGUGCGGGAAGAAGGCCUUCGGGUUGUAAACCGCUUUUGUCAGGGAAGAAAUCCUUUGAGCUAAUACCUCAGAGGGAUGACGGUACCUGAAGAAUAAGCACCGGCUAACUACGU